rnacentral:rRNA from 1 species
AGCGAGCAUGGCAGGAUCCAGAGUACCACGAGACACGUGAAACCUUGUGGGAAUGAGCGGGGACCACCCCGUAAGGCUAAAUACUCCUUAGUGACCGAUAGCGCAUAGUACUGUGAAGGAAAGGUGAAAAGGACCCCGGGAGGGGAGUGAAAGAGAACCUGAAACCAUAUGUUUACAAGCUGUGGAACAUCUUUAUAUGAUGAACCGCGUACUUUUUGUAGAACGGUCCGGCGAGUUACGCUGGCUGGCGAGGUUAAGGGCUGAAGGCCUGGAGCCGAAGGGAAACCGAGUCUGAACAGGGCGAAAUAGUCAGUCGGAGUAGACCCGAAACCGGGUGAUCUAUCCAUGUCCAGGUUGAAGUUGCCGUAAAAGGCAAUGGAGGACCGAACCCACAUCCGUUGAAAAGGGUGGGGAUGAGGUGUGGAUAGGGGAGAAAUUCCAAUCGAACCCGGAGAUAGCUGGUUCUCCUCGAAAUAGCUUUAGGGCUAGCCUCAUGCAAGUCUUACGGAGGUAGAGCACUGAAUUCCUAAGGGGGCGUCAAAGCUUACCAAGGGAUAUCAAACUCCGAAUGCCGUGUAGAUGGUGCAUGGGAGUCAGACUAUCCGAGAUAAGUUGGGUAGUCAAAAGGGAAAGAGCCCAGACCUACAGCUAAGGUCCCAAAAUGUGUGUUAAGUGGAAAAGGAUGUGGGAUUUCGAAGACAACUAGGAUGUUGGCUUAGAAGCAGCCAUCCAUUAAAAGAGUGCGUAAUAGCUCACUAGUCGAGAGGUCCUGCGCCGAAAAUGUCCGGGGCUGAAACACACUACCGAAGCUUGGGAAUUGACGAAUGUUAAUUGGUAGAGGAGCAUUCUUAACGGGG